GCCACAUGAUGUUCGCUUCUUGAGAAAUGAGCGCUUGGCGCAAUGCUGACCAUUAUCUAUCACCCUGGACUGAUGGCU
ensembl:snoRNA SNORD83 Small nucleolar RNA SNORD83